rfam:Heligmosomoides polygyrus genome assembly, scaffold: HPBE_scaffold0003846
UCUUCAUGCGGGGCAGGGGGGUUCGAUUCCUGGUCGAUUUUUGGCAAAAAUCGACCAGAAAUCGAACCCCUCCCGCCCCGCAUGAAGG